UACCUGUGGUAAUUCUAGAGCUAAUACAUGCAACUGAGCUCCGACCUGGCGAUGAGUGUUCUUGUCGCUGGGAAAGGGCGCUUUUAUUAGACCACAAAACCGAUUCGGACUCCGGUCCGUCUCACUGAGAAAACAAAACUCUCGUGGUGAUUCUGAAUAACUGAGCCGAGCGCUUAGGUCUUCGCACCGGCGCCGUAUCCUUCGAGUGUCUGCCUUAUCAGCUCUCGAUUGUAAGUUAUACGCUUACAAUGGCUGUAACGGGUAACGGGGAAUCAGGGUUCGAUUCCGGAGAGGGAGCCUGAGAAACGGCUACCACAUCUAAGGAAGGCAGCAGGCACGCAAAUUACCCACUCCCGGUACGGGGAGGUAGUGACGAAAAAUAACGAUGCGGGACUCUUCCGAGGCCUCGCAAUCGGAAUGAGUCCACUUUAAAUCCUUGAACGAGGAUCGAUUGGAGGGCAAGUCUGGUGCCAGCAGCCGCGGUAAUUCCAGCUCCAAUAGCGUAUAUUAAAGUUGCUGCGGUUAAAAAGCUCGUAGUUGGAUUUCACUAUUCGGACCGGCGGCCCAUCCAAGGGAUCUCGCAGAUUUCCUCGGGUUCGGAAGUCGAGAUUACAGCAAGCGCGGCUCCGUAGUUUCUCGUUUCGGGCGGAACUGCUUCCGGAGAGUGUAUUGCUUGGGUUUUCGGAUUCACGGGUUUUAUUCGGCCGCCUUAGUUCGCGUGAUGCGUUAAUUCGCGAUCGCGUUCUAGGGUCUUGGAGUGCCGUUUAAUUCUCGCCGGCCCGCUAAAGCGUCCUCUCCGAGCUUCCUUUAGGUCCUGUUGCGAGAGGCGUUGAUGGUGAUUUCGCGUCUUGUUCUCGGCGCUACUCCGGCUCGGGGCGAGAAAGAAGCGAACCCGGUGGUUUACCGGCCGGUUCCGGGUUGAAAAAAGCCGUCGGCUCACGCGAGGUGCUCUUUACCGAGUGUCUAGCGCGCGGCCGACACGUUCACUUUGAAAAAAUUAGAGUGCUCAGAGCGGGCCGUUAAAAGCUUUUAAAGCCCGAAUGGUGGUGCAUGGAAUGAAGGAACAGGACCUCGGUUCUGCCCUUAUUUUACUGAUCGGUUUUUCGGAACCCGAGGUAAUGAUUAACGGGAACUGACGGGGGCAUUGGUAUUGCGACGCUAGAGGUGAAAUUCUUGGACCGUCGCAAGACUAACUACUGCGAAAGCAUUUGCCAAGAAUGUUUUCAUUAAUCAAGAACGAAAGUUAGAUGAUCGAAGGCGAUCAGAUACCGCCCUAGUUCUAACCGUAAACUAUGCUAACUGGCGAUCCGCCGGAGUCAUUCCCACGACUCGGCGGGCAGCCCUCCGGGAAACCAAAGUCUUUGAGUUCCGGGGGGAGUAUGGUUGCAAAGCUGAAACUUAAAGGAAUUGACGGAAGGGCACCACCAGGAGUGGAGCCUGCGGCUUAAUUUGACUCAACACGGGAAACCUCACCAGGCCCGGACACCGGAAGGAUUGACAGAUUAAGAGCUCUUUCUCGAUUCGGUGGGUGGUGGUGCAUGGCCGUUCUUAGUUGGUGGAGCGAUUUGUCUGGUUGAUUCCGAUAACGAACGAGACUCUACCCUACUAAAUAGUCGUCGGAUAGACUCCCGAGAAGGGUCCCGGCAACUGCGAGGCAUUAAGGGCGGUGCGUGGAUGCAUUUCGCGUUUCGGUGGAGUUCGGCGUAACUGCAAGCGAGGUAUGCGUUUCUGCGUGUACGUUAGUUUGCGGGUGCGUUAGUUUCUUUACCGGGCCGGAGUGUGUGUGCGUUAUCGUCCGCUUCGUGGAAGUCGGUCGGCCCUAACAAAGGGGCGUCCGUCGCAACAUCUUCUUAGAGGUAUCGGCGGUCUCCAGCCGCACGAGAAAGAGCAAUAACAGGUCUGUGAUGCCCUUAGAUGUUCUGGGCCGCACGCGCGCUACAAUGAAGGGAUCAGCGUGCUUUCCUCCUCCGAAAAGAGCAGGUAACCCUCUGAAACCCCUUCCCGAUUGGGAUUGGGGCUUGCAAAUGUUUCCCAUGAACGAGGAAUUCCUAGUAAGCGCGAGUCAUUAGCUCGCGCUGAUUACGUCCCUGCCCUUUGUACACACCGCCCGUCGCUACUACCGAUUGAAUGAUUCAGUGAGGGCAUCGGACUGGCACUCUCGGUAUCGCUUUUCGGUUCUGCAUUCCAAACUCUGCCGCGCGUUCGCGUACUUUUACAGUCGCGGCGCCGCGUGGUAGGGGCGAGCUGGAGAGGCGCCUUUGAGUUGACGGAAAGAUGUCCGAACUUGGUCAUUUAGAGGAAGUAAAAGUCG
rnacentral:rRNA from 1 species